rnacentral:lncRNA from 1 species
CAGAAGACAGGUCAGGCCCCUGCAUAUUCUUACACAGCCACCAAUAAGAACAAAGGCAUCAUUUGCGGAGAGGAUACACUGAUGGAGUAUUUGGAGAAUCCCAAGAAGUACAUCGCUGGAACAAAAAUGAUCUUUGUCAGCAUUAAGAAAAAGGAAGAAAGGGCAGACUUGAUAGCUUAUCUCAAAAAAGCUACUAAUGAGUAA